AAAUGGUUAUAUUCUUGAUUUCAAUAAUACCUUCAUCUAAUUUUCAUUAACGUUUGUAUUGCGUCACCCGGUUCUAACUAAAGUGAAACUUUUAUUUUGCAUUUUGUGACGUUUUCUCGUUUUUCGAGUAGUUUAUACAUUAUAUUUUAUACAGUUUAUUUAUUAUAUUCGAGUAAAUGUUUUUCUUUUUAGGGUAUUGUUUCGCUAAAAGGCCUUUUCGGGCUAAUUUUUAGAGCCUUUUUUGAUAGUUUUUAAGGCAUUUAAAUCCAGGCCCUACCCAUCAUAAUAGAACGUUGCAACUGUCUAAAUUUUUGAUUUCUUUACGGGUACAAUAAAAUAAUUUACGUACGAUAGGAUACCCUCCAAUAUAAAUCAUUAAUUAUAGUACCACUCAUCAACUGCAAGGACGACAUAAGUCAAACGCUUCCCGGUGCCUAAGACCAGAUAAUAAUAUAAUCCUCAAUCGCGAACUCAUUUAUUAUCUUGGCUAUUUACUUAAUUGCAUACAUAACUAUCGCACGAUCGUAUCGGUAAAAAUAAUAAUACCGUGCGUAUAUUGGCCCUACCCCGUAAAAAAGAUUACGCGUGUCCCAGUGUACAUAUUAUAUAUCACGAUAGUGUUACAAUAUAAAAUACGAAUAUGUUAUAAGAAUAUAUCCGACAACCGUGGGUGCCCUUUAGGGAAAAUAUCCCCUUGUCAAAUAUUGUAAAACAUAAAAAAUUGUCUUUUCUUGAGCCUUGACGCACGACGCACAGCCUAGAUGUUUACAAUUCGCGCUUUCGUAAUGAGUCAGUAUCAUAAGUUAUGAUUCAUAAAUUCUCGUAUAACAUUUUAUACAGACCUUGUAAUUUUAUAUUUAUCGUGUUCUAUUCAUUAGUCUUUUAAUGUUUGUUUGGUAAUCCGGUUUCAGUUUGUCUCUCCCCUGAUAAUUACUUUAUGGGUGCCCAUGCCGGUAAUGAUAAUAAUAGUAUGUAUAUGUUGAAUAAUGGUUUUCUUAGAUAUCUUCUUAGUAUUAUAAAUAUAAUAUUAUACUGUUAUACUAAUACGUUUUACUACCCGCCUUUUAUAUUACGUACAGGGAGUACCGCUCUAUUAUAGAUUGACGUUAGUCCGUGACACGUCACGUGCUAUAUUGUAUAUAAAAUAGUUUAACUGCGAAUUUUCAUUAAUUUUUAUUAGUAUUGUAAAAAAAUAAAUGUAAAACAUAAAUAAUAUAUUAUACAUAUUAUUUAGGUAUGUAUUAUACUUUUAGUAUGUGGCGCGACCAGGUAACGGGUUAGACGGAUCUGCUUGGAUAAAAACCUACACACACACACACACACAGAUUGUUUAUUUUAUCUAGAAUUUGAUGUGGAGCAAAUUAACGAUUUUUCGAUAAUACAUUAUAAUUCUUCAGACCUCCCUCCCCCCCGCAACAUUCCUUUAAAAAAAUUCUGGUUGCGCCACUGACUGUUUACAAGAAGCUUAAAUGAGUCGACAGCGAGUGUAAGCAAUUGGCCGCCGUGCUUAUACAGGAGUAAAUUUACCUUAAAAUUUACCCCAAAAUGCUCGCAAGAAAAUACGUUAAAAUAUUACCUUAUCUAUACACGGUUAUCGCAUACACGGCAAUCCGAUUUGUAUAAUUCGUUCGGGCGUUAAAGUCUCGAACAGUCUUAGCGCCCACUCAUUUAUUAGUAUCGUUUCUUUCAAUACUACAGUGGGAUUUCAUUUAAUAUGGGGGAAACCGUCUAAAAUAGCCAUAAUGGUCAGCAUGAUAAUGGUUAUGUAUAACGAUACUCAUUUCGGUUAAAAUGGCAAACCACUUAAUGUAGGCAAAUAAAAUUGGUCUCAACGUGACCACAAUAAACGGAAUAUACUAUAUAUUAUAAUAAUAUUAUUAAAUUGUCGUUCUUUAUAGGAGGAUACUUUUCUUGUUUUUAAUAUUGUGAAAGCGAAUCGCAAUUUGAACGAUCGAAAUCAUAGGUAAUAUAAAACCGCGAAAGUUCGAUUUUUUUAAAUUUUUUAUUACGAUAGUAAUCAUAUAAUUUUAUCACGUCUUCUAUAACCACGAUUGGUUGAGGGGUAGUUUUUCUACAAACGCGUGACGUUUACCAAAACCCACUGUAGUUUCAGAUUAAAACCACUCCGCUAAACACAACGUGUUGCGGAUUUAAAAUGUAAUGAGAUUUUUUAUGUGUAGAUGUUUUAUAAAAUUGUUUUCGACGCGAUCAAUUACAGCCGUGUUUGAAUGCGUAAAAAACAAAAAUAAUUUUUUUUUCCUUUAACCUAUCAAAAUACCAAUUACAUUACAUGAUAAUUGGUAUUAUGUUUCUGUAUCAUUUUUUUUUUUUUUUUAAUAUGUGCAUUUCUAAUAAUCGCUAUAGUAUUAUGUUUCGUCUC
rnacentral:lncRNA from 1 species